CAGAUGUCUCCAACAGUUCAUUACUCUGAGUGUACGGCGCUGUUGGCUGCUGAGUUUGGUCAGCAUUAACACCUUUAACUGUUUGACCAGUUGUAGACGCAGUAGAACUAACUGAUGCUUGGGAUUUCACAUCAGGAUGAUUACGAGCUAUGAGAUCAGCCCAAGAUUUAGGUGCUGUAGCAACAUUUGCAUCGCUAGCCCCUAUAGCAUCAGCAUUCUUCGAGUUUGAAGUCAGAGCUUCAUCUUGAAGCUGAUUUUCCUGCUGAGAAACAAAACUUGGGACUGAGGCUUCCGUAACUUGGAUAACGGGUUCU